CACGUAGGGGGCAAGCGUUGUCCGGAUUUAUUGGGCGUAAAGAGCUCGUAGGCGGCUUAGUAAGUCGGGUGUGAAACCUCCAGGCUCAACCUGGAGACGCCACCCGAUACUGCUGUGGCUAGAGUCCGGUAGGGGAGCGUGGAAUUCCUGGUGUAGCGGUGAAAUGCGCAGAUAUCAGGAGGAACACCGGUGGCGAAGGCGGAUCUCUGGGCCAUUACUGACGCUGAGGAGCGAAAGCGUGGGGAGCGAACAGG
rnacentral:rRNA from 1 species